rnacentral:rRNA from 1 species
GUGCCAGCCGCCGCGGUAAUACGAAGGGGGCUAGCGUUGUUCGGAAUUACUGGGCGUAAAGGGCGCGUAGGCGGUCCUGAUCGUCGGAUGUGAAAGGCCUGGGCUCAACCUGGGAACUGCAUCCGAUACGGCGGGACUGGAGUGUGGGAGAGGUUGGUGGAAUUCCCAGUGUAGAGGUGAAAUUCGUAGAUAUUGGGAAGAACACCGGUGGCGAAGGCGGCCAACUGGACCACAACUGACGCUGAGGCGCGAAAGCGUGGGGAGCAAACAGGAUUAGAAACCCCUGUAGUCC